AGCGAACGCUGGCGACAGGCCUACACAUGCAAGUCGAACGGAUCCUUCGGGAUUAGUGGCGGACGGGUGAGUAACACGUGGGAACGUGCCCUUUGGUUCGGAACAACUCAGGGAAACUUGAGCUAAUACCGGAUGUGCCCUUCGGGGGAAAGAUUUAUCGCCAUUGGAGCGGCCCGCGUCUGAUUAGCUAGUUGGUGAGGUAAAGGCUCACCAAGGCGACGAUCAGUAGCUGGUCUGAGAGGAUGAUCAGCCACAUUGGGACUGAGACACGGCCCAAACUCCUACGGGAGGCAGCAGUGGGGAAUCUUGCGCAAUGGGCGAAAGCCUGACGCAGCCAUGCCGCGUGAAUGAUGAAGGUCUUAGGAUUGUAAAAUUCUUUCACCGGGGACGAUAAUGACGGUACCCGGAGAAGAAGCCCCGGCUAACUUCGUGCCAGCCGCCGCAGUAAAAC
rnacentral:rRNA from 1 species